rnacentral:rRNA from 1 species
GCAAGAUACCACGGGCGCACGGCGGAUGCCUUGGCACAGGGAGCCGAUGAAGGACGCGGCAAGCUGCGAUAAUCCCCGGCGAGGAGCACACAUCCUUCGACCCGGGGGUCUCCGAAUGGGCGAACCCAUGCACAGCAGUGUGCAUAUCCCCGGCCUGAACACAUAGGGCCGGGGAGGACAACCCGGGGAACUGAAACAUCUAAGUACCCGGAGGAGAGGAAAUCAAUCUCGAGACUCCCCGAGUAGCGGCGAGCGAAAGGGGACCGAUGGCCAAACCGUCGAGCGGGCAUACCCGGCAGGGGUUCCGCCGACGGGGUUGCAGGGCCGCGCAUCCGGGGGCUGCCGCCCCCGGGCGCAGGUCCGGCUGGGGAGCGGAACGGCAUGGGAGGGCCGGCCGCAGCGGGUGACAGCCCCGUACGCGAACCCAGACCGGACGGCGCGACGCGGUCCCUGAGUAGGGCCGGGCACGUGAAACCCGGUCCGAACCUGGGUGGACCACCAUCCAAGCCUGAGUACUACCCUGUGACCGAUAGCGCACCAGUACCGUGAGGGAAAGGUGAAAAGCACCCCGGGAGGGGAGUGAAACAGUACCUGAAACCGUGCGCCCACGAGCAGUCGGAGCACCUUUAUGGUGUGACGGCGUGCCUUUUGUAGAAUGAGCCAGCGAGUCGCUGGCGCGGGGCGAGGUUAACCGAAAGGGAGCCGAAGCGAAAGCGAGCCUUAACAGGGCGACUUGAGUCCCGCGCCGCGGACGCGAAGCCGGGUGAGCUAUCCGUGGGCAGGCUGAAGCGGGGGUAAGACCCCGUGGAGGGCCGAACGCACGUCGGUUGAAAACGGCGGCGAUGACCUGCGGAUAGGGGUGAAAGGCCAAUCAAACCCGGAGAUAUCUCGUUCUCCCCGAAAUAGCUUUAGGGCUAGCGUCGCGCGUUCACCGCCGGAGGUAGAGCACCGGAUGGACGAGGGGGCUUCGCCGCCUACCGAAUCCAACCGAACUCCGAAUGCCGGCGGCCCAGAGCGCGGCAGUCAGAGCAUGUGGGCUAAGCUGUGUGCUCGAGAGGGAAACAGCCCGGACCGCCCGCUAAGGUCCCCAAGUUCCAGCCGAGUGGCAAAGGAUGUGCGUCCGCCCAGACAACCAGGAUGUUGGCUUAGAAGCAGCCAUCCAUUCAAAGAGUGCGUAACAGCUCACUGGUCGAGUGGACAUGCGCCGACAAUACACGGGGCUAAGCUGGACACCGAAGCGGCGGGAUUUUGAUUUUCAGAAUCGGUAGGGGAGCUUCCCAUGGGCGGAGAAGCCGGAGGGCGACCGACGGUGGAGCGCAUGGGAGUGAGAAUGCUGGCAUGAGUAGCGAGAGACGAGAGAGUAACUCGUCCGCCGUGAACCCGAGGUUUCCUGGGCAAGGCUAAUCCUCCCAGGGUCAGUCGGGGGCUAAGGCGAGGCCGGGAGGCGUAGCCGACGCGCAGCAGGCAGACAUUCCUGCACCGCGCACGCGGCGCUACGACCGACGGGGCGACGGAUGGGGGUGGCUCGGCGGGGUUCUGGACGUCCCCGUGAUGGAGCGCGGCCCGCGGACCAGGGAAAUCCGGUCCGCAGAAGGGCGAGGCUCCGGACGAAGCGACUGAGCGAAGCGAGUGAGCCCGAGGUCCCUAGAAAAACCCCUAGGCAGGCGCGUGCGCGCCCGUACCGCAAACCGACACAGGUGGGUGGGUAGAACAUACCGAGGCGAUCGGGUCAACCAUGGUCAAGGAACUCGGCACAAUGGCCCCGUAACUUCGGGAGAAGGGGUGCCCGCGCGUACGUGAACGGACUUGCUCCGGGAGCGGAGGCGGGCCGCAGUGGAGAGGCCCAAGCGACUGUUUACCAAAAACACAGGACUCUGCAGAAGCCGCAAGGCGACGUAUAGGGUCUGACGCCUGCCCGGUGCCGGAAGGUCACGCGGAGGAGUUAGCGCAUCGCGCGAAGCCCCGAAGCCAAGCCCCGGUAAACGGCGGCCGUAACUAUAACGGUCCUAAGGUAGCGA